rnacentral:rRNA from 1 species
AUUGAACGCUGGCGGCAUGCUUUACACAUGCAAGUCGGACGGCAGCACAGAGAAGCUUGCUUCUUGGGUGGCGAGUGGCGAACGGGUGAGUAAUAUAUCUGAACGUACCGAGUAAUGGGGGAUAACUAAUCGAAAGAUUAGCUAAUACCGCAUAUUCUCUGAGGAGGAAAGCAGGGGACCUUCGGGCCUUGCGUUAUUCGAGCGGCCGAUAUCUGAUUAGCUAGUUGGUGGGGUAAAGGCCUACCAAGGCGACGAUCAGUAGCGGGUCUGAGAGGAUGAUCCGCCACACUGGGACUGAGACACGGCCCAGACUCCUACGGGAGGCAGCAGUGGGGAAUUUUGGACAAUGGGCGCAAGCCUGAUCCAGCCAUGCCGCGUGUCUGAAGAAGGCCUUCGGGUUGUAAAGGACUUUUGUCAGGGAAGAAAAGGCUGUUGCUAAUAUCGACAGCUGAUGACGGUACCUGAAGAAUAAGCACCGGCUAACUACGUG